GCAAAGCCUCUAAUGACAAAAGCAUUUAUAGUGGAUCCCCGACUGGGAAGCUGAGUAUAAUGAUAAUAGAUGGCAAGGAUGAUAGCCUGUGCAGCUGCAUGUGCUCGCCAUUCUGCACGGCGGCGACCAUGAAUGGGUCAAGUAUACAAGUGAACUAUUUUACUGUAUAUUUGCUUGCCAUCGCCAGUGCAGGUUGUUCGUGCCUUGGAAGAUGACGUGUUCGUGGUCCCUGGAUGAUCUGAACGAAGGCAUCUGGCCCAGGCACAGCCGGUUUAUGGGAUCAUAUGGCAGCUCGUCCUCGGACGACGACACCAACCAGUACAAUGAGGACCUGAAGAAGUUCUGGAAGAUGGCGUUGGGUGGCAGGGGCGUGCAGAGCGGCAGCCAGCGGACGCCGACGAGCAAGUAUGGGCAGAACCUGUUGGUGUCGAGAACCGACGAGCACCAGACGACACAGGAAACGGAGAUGGGGAGCGUGAGGAAAGCCGGUGAUAAUGCUGGAGACAGCCAGAGCCAUACUUCGUGAGUAUUCUCCUCCCGGUGGUAAUUGGAUGAAAGAAUGCUGAUUGAUUUCUGGCUAUUGUAGUGCUGUUCUCCCGGAGAAAGUGGUGCAUGAGCAAGAGAAGCUCAGGUCCUUGCAUGAGAAAGUGUAUAGAGGGACUUGCACUAGAUUAAUUAGAAUUGAGAAUUGCUAUUAUAUUUUUUAGCUCGAUGUUGAACAAAGCAAGGAAAUCAAUCUAAAAAAAAGCAGUGCACGUUGUCGAAGCUUUUGAGCUGUUACAUGUAUUUCGGUGGUAGAGAUAACAGUAAAUUAUUUAUUUAUCUUGUUAUUAUGAGAAAGUUGAUUUGUUCAAUGUCAAAUGAUAAAAAAUACUUUCGAAGGA